UACAGAGGGUGCGAGCGUUAAUCGGAAUUACUGGGCGUAAAGCGUGCGCAGGCGGUGAUGUAAGACCGAUGUGAAAUCCCCGGGCUUAACCUGGGAACUGCAUUGGUGACUGCAUCGCUCGAGUAUGGCAGAGGGGGGUAGAAUUCCACGUGUAGCAGUGAAAUGCGUAGAGAUGUGGAGGAAUACCGAUGGUGAAGGCAGCCCCCUGGGUCAAUACUGACGCUCAUGCACGAAAGCGUGGGGAGCAAACAGG
rnacentral:rRNA from 1 species